AGAAACAGGGUCUCUCAUGCUUGCUCAGGCUGGUCUUGAACUCCUGGCCUCAAGCAAUUCUUCUGCCUCUACUUUCCAAAGCCUCUCUUUUUAAUCUAAUAUUGUCUCUUUGCAGCUAGAAGAUGCCGUGUUGAGUGCAGAGUCCAGGGCUAGAGAUCAGAGUCUUACCAGGCUGAAGCUGGAGGCUGGGGGGCUCUGGUGUGGGGCUCUCAAGGAUUGGAGGAGAUGAAGAGAUGACAUACUGAUAAAAAACACCUGGGUUUUCCUCCUGAAAGAUCAUCUGGGAGAAGAGAAGAAGCUCCCACCCUAAGAUGAUACCCCAGGCCCUCUCAGCUUCCUCCUGGCCUCCACACGGGGAAGGAGGAGGCCUUUCCCAGUUCAGUUGUUCACUGUGCUGAAUGGCGCUGGGGCGGGCAGAACAGAGAGGCCAGGAAUGGAGGAGAAGCAGCCGUGCUCACCAAGGUAGUUGGAGCUGGGCCGAAGCUGGGCAAUCUGGAGCCGGGAC